UAUUCAUGGUAUCUUCCUUUCUCCAUGAAAACUCACGGCCGAGCACCCCUUUAGAACCUUUGUUCUUCCGAUUUUUAAAUUAGUAAAUCUAGAAAUCUUAAAAUAGCAACAUGGUUGAAAGAUACGGGGCUGAGAUGGUGUUCUAUUUCCAGCAGCCGGAAUCCGGCGAAGAAGACAAGUUGUCACUUAUAAUUCGAAUUUCAGCAGUUAGGCCUUCAAAGAAAUAAUUGUUUAGAGGCCUUGAGAUUGAACCUCGUUGAUCAGGAUCCAUCGUUAGAAAGCUAAUGAAUUUGGCUCUCUAUUGGUGGUAGUUCUCGAUGGUUUACACCGACAGUGGUCGCCGGAGUUUGCGGAGAAGUCAGCCAGCCCGCUGGGAUUUUGGGGAAGCAAAAUCUGCUGCCGCACCUGUUUUCGGAGCCGAAAUCGAAGGGUUUCGAAUGCGAAUUUGGAAUCGGUUCCUUCGGGAAACUCGUAGAGGACAUCGUAAACUAUAAGUGUUGAGCGUAGUAAAGCUCUCACUCAAGGUUUAAGCUUAAGGAUGCACCUAUAGAACUAGCAUUGGACUCCAGGUGAGAAACUAUGACUCCUUAUCCGAUUUCUUUCCUGCGCUUAAUAUCUCCUUUGUUUGAACCGAAUAUUUUGUAUAUAUUGAAGCCUUCGAUACCUUGAUUAUAUUUGUUCUUGAAA